GGGUGAUUAGCUCAGUGGUAGAGCGCUACUUUAGCAUAGUAGAGGCCAGGGGUUCAACUCCCCUAUCAUCCA
rfam:Tritrichomonas foetus strain K scaffold_100, whole genome shotgun sequence.